GACGAACGCUGGCGGCGUGCUUAACACAUGCAAGUCGAACGGAAAGGCCCUGCGUUUGUGGGGUGCUCGAGUGGCGAACGGGUGAGUAACACGUGAGUAACAUGCCCUUGACUUUGGGAUAACAUCAGGAAAAAGGGGCUAAUAUCGCAUAGGAGCUCCUGAAGCAUGGUGGGGGUUGGAAAGAUUCGGCGGUUGGGGAUGGACUAGCGGCUUAUCAGCCUGUUGGUGGGGUAGUGGCUUCCCAAGGCUUAGACGGGUAGCAGACCUGGGAGGGUGGCCGGCGUCCUGAGUCCUGCGGUGCGGCGCAGACUCGUAUGUUCCGCAGAGGGGGAGAACAUUGCGCAACGGGGCGGCGCGUGAGACGACAGCCCCGCGUUCGUGAUGCCGGGCUUCGAGGUGUAAACAGCUUUGGCCUUUGCCGAAGCGGGAGUGACGGUACUUGGUAAAGAAGCACCGGCUAACUACGUG
rnacentral:rRNA from 1 species